rnacentral:rRNA from 1 species
GAGUUUGAUUAUGGCUCAGGAUGAACGCUGGCGGCGUGCCUAACACAUGCAAGUCGAACGGAGAACUUAAGUGGAAGUUUUCGGAUGGAAACUUUUGUUCUUAGUGGCGGACGGGUGAGUAACGCGUGGGCAACCUGCCUCAUACAGGGGGACAACAGACGGAAACGUCUGCUAAGACCGCAUACGUCUUUUUGGUCGCAUGACUGAGAAGGGAAAAGAGCAAUCUGGUAUGAGAUGGGCCCGCGUCUGAUUAGCUGGUUGGUAAGGUAACGGCUUACCAAGGCAACGAUCAGUAGCCGGACUGAGAGGUCGGACGGCCACAUUGGGACUGAGACACGGCCCAAACUCCUACGGGAGGCAGCAGUGGGGGAUAUUGCACAAUGGAGGAAACUCUGAUGCAGCGACGCCGCGUGAGUGAAGAAGUAUUUCGGUAUGUAAAGCUCUAUCAGCAGGGAAGAUGAUGAC